GUCGCGGAGCCUCGGUCCAUCCGCCCCUCCCAACCGGUCCGGCACAUCCAGGCGCACACACAUCUGUCCACAAACACACCCUCCCUCACACACACACAACUCACACACACACCAAUUCACACAUACACAACUCACACACCAACUCACACGCACACAACUCACACGCACAGCAACUCACAUACACAUCAACACACACAUACACAACUCACACACCAACUCACAUAUGUGCCAACUCACAUGCCAACUCACACACGGACUCACACACACACCAACUCACAUGCACACCAACUCACACAUACACAACUCACACACCAACUCACACAUACCAACUCACAUACACAACUCACACACCAACUCAUACACACCAA
rnacentral:lncRNA from 10 species